GCCGGUGUGGUGGAACUGGUAGACACGCAGGAUUUAGGUUCCUGUGCCCCUGGGCGUGCAGGUUCGAGUCCUGUCACCGGCACCG
rnacentral:tRNA from 1 species